rnacentral:rRNA from 1 species
AUGCGUUGUUGGGUAGGGGAGCGUUCUGUAAGCCUGUGAAGGUGUGCUGUGAGGCAUGCUGGAGGUAUCAGAAGUGCGAAUGCUGACAUAAGUAACGAUAAAGCGGGUGAAAAGCCCGCUCGCCGGAAGACCAAGGGUUCCUGUCCAACGUUAAUCGGGGCAGGGUGAGUCGACCCCUAAGGCGAGGCCGAAAGGCGUAGUCGAUGGGAAACAGGUUAAUAUUCCUGUACUUGGUGUUACUGCGAAGGGGGGACGGAGAAGGCUAUGUUGGCCGGGCGACGGUUGUCCCGGUUUAAGCGUGUAGGCUGGUUUUCCAGGCAAAUCCGGAAAAUCAAGGCUGAGGCGUGAUGACGAGGCACUGCGGUGCUGAAGCAACAAAUGCCCUGCUUCCAGGAAAAGCCUCUAAGCAUCAGGUAACAUCAAAUCGUACCCCAAACCGACACAGGUGGUCAGGUAGAGAAUACCAAGGCGCUUGAGAGAACUCGGGUGAAGGAACUAGGCAAAAUGGUGCCGUAACUUCGGGAGAAGGCACGCUGAUAUGUAGGUGAAGUCCCUCGCGGAUGGAGCUGAAAUCAGUCGAAGAUACCAGCUGGCUGCAACUGUUUAUUAAAAACACAGCACUGUGCAAACACGAAAGUGGACGUAUACGGUGUGACGCCUGCCCGGUGC